GAUGAACGCUAGCGGCAGGCCUAAUACAUGCAAGUCGGACGGUAUCCUGCUUUCGGGCGGGAGAGAGUGGCGCACGGGUGCGUAACGCGUAUGCAACCUGCCUUAUACAGUGGGAUAGCCCGGGGAAACCCGGAUUAAUACCGCAUGUUACCGUUGACGGGCAUCCGUUUACGGUCAAAGAUUUAUCGGUAUAAGAUGGGCAUGCGUAGGAUUAGCUAGUUGGUGGUGUAACGGACCACCAAGGCGAUGAUCCUUAGGGGUUCUGAGAGGAAGGUCCCCCACACUGGCACUGAGACACGGGCCAGACUCCUACGGGAGGCAGCAGUAGGGAAUAUUGGGCAAUGGGCGGUAGCCUGACCCAGCCAUGCCGCGUGCAGGAAGACGGCGUUCUGCGUUGUAAACUGCUUUUAUACGGGAAGAAAAGGCCCAUGCGUGGGACAUUGCCGGUACCGUAUGAAUAAGCACCGGCUAACUCCGUGCCAGCAGCCGCGGUAAUACGGAGGGUGCGAGCGUUGUCCGGAUUUAUUGGGUUUAAAGGGUGCGUAGGCGGCCCGUUAAGUCGGCGGUGAAAGUCUGUGGCUCAACCAUGGAACUGCCGUUGAUACUGGCGGGCUUGAGUGCCGGUGGGGUACAUGGAAUUGGUGGUGUAGCGGUGAAAUGCAUAGAUACCAUCAGGAACACCGAUAGCGUAGCAUUGUACUUACCGGCAACUGACGCUGAGGCACG
rnacentral:rRNA from 1 species